rnacentral:rRNA from 1 species
CCCGGCCCAAAUUCCUASGGGRGGCAGCAGUGGGAAUYUUGCSCAAUGGAGGAAACUCUGAUGCAGCGAUGCCGCGUGAGUGAAGAAGGCCCUUGGGUUGUAAAGCUCUUUCGUCGGGGAAGAAAAUGACUGUACCCGAAUAAGAAGGUCCGGCUAACUUCGUGCCAGCAGCCGCGGUAAUACGAAGGGACCUAGCGUAGUUCGGAAUUACUGGGCUUAAAGAGUUCGUAGGUGGUUGAAAAAGUUAGUGGUGAAAUCCCAGAGCUUAACUCUGGAACUGCCAUUAAAACUUUUCAGCUAGAGUAUGAUAGAGGAAAGCAGAAUUUCUAGUGUAGAGGUGAAAUUCGUAGAUAUUAGAAAGAAUACCAAUUGCGAAGGCAGCUUUCUGGAUCAUUACUGACACUGAGGAACGAAAGCAUGGGUAGCGAAGAGGAUUAGAUACCCUCGUAGUCCAUGCCGUAAACGAUGUGUGUUAGACGUUGGAAAUUUAUUUUCAGUGUCGCAGGGAAACCGAUAAACACACCGCCUGGGGAGUACGACCGCAAGGUUAAAACUCAAAUGAAUUGACGGGGACCCGCACAAGUAGUGGAGCAUGUGGUUUAAUUCGAAGAUACGCGCAGAACCUUACCAACACUUGACAUGUUCGUCGCGACUCUAAGAGAUUAGAGUUUUCGGUUCGGCCGGACGAAACACAGGUGCUGCAUGGCUGUCGUCAGCUCGUGUCGUGAGAUGUUGGGUUAAGUCCCGCAACGAGCGCAACCCUCACUUUUAGUUGCCAUCAUUAAGUUGGGCACUCUGAAAGAACUGCCAGUGAUAAGCUGGAGGAAGGUGGGGAUGACGUCAAGUCCUCAUGGCCCUUACGUGUUGGGCUACACACGUGCUACAAUGGUAUCUACAACAGGAAGCAAGACUGCGAAGUUAAGCAAAUCCCUAAAAGAUACCUCAGUUCGGAUUGCACUCUGCAACUCGAGUGCAUGAAGCUGGAAUUACUAGUAAUCGUGGAUCAGCGUGCCACGGUGAAUGCGUUCCCGGGUCUUGUACACACCGCCCGUCACACCAUGGGAGUUGGUUCUACCUUAAGGCAAGGUU